ensembl:lncRNA
CAACUCUGCUCUGCUUUCCCUUCCCCUGGGCAUGGUGAGCCUUCCCCCGGGGCCAUGCUGGAACUGCUGCCAUUCCCUGCUGUCUCCUCUAUCCUUCCUAUAGUCUUCAGGCUCCUUAGCAAGAGCUGCAGUGGAUGAUACCAAGUGAGGCCCUAAGAGGUGGAGGACCAGAGGAUGGGAUUCCCCUUGUGUUGCUGUGGAAACCGUUGGAAGGGAAGCAGCAAAACCAGGGCUGGCAGGGAGUGCUGGGCGGUGUGCGGGGCGGCUGCAGAGGCAGGGCUGUGCUGACAUCACGUGGGGAGGCGGCGUGGGGAAGGGAGAGCAAGGGAGGCUGCAGAGGGAAGAGAGCUGCAUCCGACUGGGCUCCAGGCAAGCAGGUCCAGACCCAUGGCCCAUCUGGCUGAGACCUGGGGAGACAGGAUGCUGAGCCACAUGGGCAUCGAACCUCCAAGUUGUUCCCCCUCAGAUCUCCCCACCUCCCACCUCUUUUAUCAGCUGCUGACAAGACUUGCCAUGUGCGUAGGUGGCUCCCAAGCUUACAAGAUGAUUCCCCACACCCCCCACCCCUACUCAAAAGUGUUCAGGAUUUUGGAGGGGGGGGGGCAGAGCAUUCCUCCGUCUGCAAG